rnacentral:rRNA from 1 species
AGUCAACAUGCCCAGGGGACGUGGAUAACCUCGGGAAACUGGGGAUAAACCGCGAUAGGUCAUCACUUCUGGAAUGGGUAAUGACUUAAAUCUAUAUGGCCCCUGGAUUGGACUGCGGCCGAUCAGGCUGUUGGUGAGGUAAUGGCCCACCAAACCUGUAACCGGUACGGGCUCUGAGAGGAGGAGCCCGGAGAUGGGCACUGAGACAAGGGCCCAGGCCCUAUGGGGCGCAGCAGGCGCGAAACCUCUGCAAUAGGCGAGAGCUUGACAGGGUUACUCUGAGUGAUUUCCGUUAAGGAGAUCUUUUGGCACCUCUAAAAAUGGUGCAGAAUAAGGGGUGGGCAAGUCUGGUGUCAGCCGCCGCGGUAAUACCAGCACCCCGAGUGGUCGGGACGUUUAUUGGGCCUAAAGCAUCCGUAGCCGGUUCUACAAGUCUUCCGUUAAAUCCACCUGCUUAACAGAUGGGCUGCGGAAGAUACUAUAGAGCUAGGAGGCGGGAGAGGCAAGCGGUACUCGAUGGGUAGGGGUAAAAUCCGUUGAUCCAUUGAAGACCACCAGUGGCGAAGGCGGCUUGCCAGAACGCGCUCGACGGUGAGGGAUGAAAGCUGGGGGAGCAAACCGGAUUAGAUACCCGGGUAGUCCCAGCUGUAAACGAUGCAGACUCGGUGAUGAGUUGGC